AGUGAACGCUGGCGGCAGGCCUAACACAUGCAAGUCGAGCGGCAGCGGGUUCCCGCGAGGGGAUGCCGGCGAGCGGCGGACGGGUGAGGAACACAUCGGAAUCUGCCUGGCUGUGGGGGAUAACGUAGGGAAACUUACGCUAAUACCGCAUGAGACCCUGAGUCGACGGACUGGGGGUGAAAGUGAGGGACCUUCGGGCCUCACGCGACCAGAUGAGCCGAUGUCGGAUUAGCUAGUUGGCGGGGUAACGGCCCGCCAAGGCGACGAUCCGUAGCUGGUCUGAGAGGAUGAUCAGCCACACUGGGACUGAGACACGGCCCAGACUCCUACGGGAGGCAGCAGU
rnacentral:rRNA from 1 species